rnacentral:lncRNA from 1 species
AUUUUUGGCACCCGGAGGCCCCUCGCAAAGUCUCGCCCCAUUCCGAGUCCGGCGGACGAACUUCGCCCGCGCCCCCCACCAAGGCUAUAGCCCACCCGUUUUUUGGCCAUUUUUCCGCUGGGGGGUUUUGGCACCACGACCUUCGGGCGCUUAUUUCUGGGCGCGGCUUUGCCCGCGGCUUAUUUUUGGUACCCCGAGGCCCCUCGCAAAGUCUCGCCGCAUUCCGAGUCCGGCGGACGAACGUCGCCCGCGCCCCCCACCAAGGCUAUAGCCCACCCGUUUUUUGGCCAUUUUUCCGCUCGGGGGUUUUGGCACCACGACCUUCGGGCGCUUAUGUUUGGGCGCGGCUUUGCCCGCGGCUUAUUUUUGGCACCCCGAGGCCCCUCGCAAAGUCUCGCCCCAUUCCGAGUCCGGCGGACGAACUUCGCCCGCGCCCCCCACCAAGGCUAUAGCCCACCCGUUUUUUGGCCAUUUUUCCGCUGGGGGGUUUUGGCACCACGACCUUCGGGCGCUUAUUUUUGGGCGCGGCUUUGCCCGCGGCUUAUUUUUGGCACCCCGAGGCCCCUCGCAUAGUCUCGCCGCAUUCCGAGUCCGGCGGAUGAACUUCGCCCGCGCCCCCCACCAAGGCUAUAGCCCACCCGUUUUUUGGCCAUUUUUCCGCUGGGGGGUUUUGGCACCACGACCUUCGGGCGCUUAUUUUUGGGCGCGGCUUUGCCCGCGGCUUACUUUUGGCACCCCGAGGCCCCUCGCAAAGUCUCGCCCCAUUCCGAGUCCGGCGGACGAACGUCGCCCGCGCCCCCCACCAAGGCUAUAGCCCACCCGUUUUUUGGCCAUUUUUCCGCUCGGGGGUUUUGGCACCACGACCUUCGGGCGCUUAUGUUUGGGCGCGGCUUUGCCCGCGGCUUAUUUUUGGCACCCCGAGGCCCCUCGCAAAGUCUCGCCGCAUUCCGAGUCCGGCGGACGAACUUCGCCCGCGCCCCCCACCAAGGCUAUAGCCCACCCAUUUUUUGGCCAUUUUUCCGCUGGGGGGUUUUGGCACCACGACCUUCGGGCGCUUAUUUUUGGGCGCGGCUUUGCCCGCGGCUUAUUUUUGGCACCCCGAGGCCCCUCGCAAAGUCUCGCCGCAUUCCGAGUCCGGCGGACGAACUUCGCCCGCGCCCCCCACCAAGGCUAUAGCCCACCCGUUUUUUGGCCAUUUUUCCGCUGGGGGGUUUUGGCACCACGACCUUCGGGCGCUUAUUUUUGGGCGCGGCUUUGCCCGCGGCAUAUUUUUGGCACCCCGAGGCCCCUCGCAAAGUCUCGCCGCAUUCCGAGUCCGGCGGACGAACUUCGCCCGCGCCCCCCACCAAGGCUAUAGCCCACCCGUUUUUUGGCCAUUUUUCCGCUGGGGGGUUUUGGCACCACGACCUUCGGGCGCUUAUUUCUGGGCGCGGCUUUGCCCGCGGCUUAUUUUUGGCACCCCGAGGCCCCUCGCAAAGUCUCGCCGCAUUCCGAGUCCGGCGGACGAACGUCGCCCGCGCCCCCCACCAAGGCUAUAGCCCACCCGUUUUUUGGCCUUUUUUCCGCUUGGGGGUUUUGGCACCACGACCUUCGGGCGCUUAUGUUUGGGCGCGGCUUUGCCCGCGGCUUAUUUUUGGCACCCCGAGGCCCCUCGCAAAGUCUCGCCCCAUUCCGAGUCCGGCGUCGAACUUCGCCCGCGCCCCCCACCAAGGCUAUAGCCCACCCGUUUUCUGGCCAUUUUUCCGCUGGGGGGUUUUGGCACCACGACCUUCGGGCGCUUAUUUUUGGGCGCGGCUUUGCCCGCGGCUUAUUUUUGGCACCCCGAGGCCCCUCGCAAAGUCUCGCCGCAUUCCGAGUCCGGCGGACGAACUUCGCCCGCGCCCCCCACCAAGGCUAUAGCCCACCCAUUUUUUGGCCAUUUUUCCGCUCGGGGGCUUUGGCACCACGACCUUCGGGCGCUUAUGUUUGGGCGCGGCUUUGCCCGCGGCUUAUUUUUGGCACCCCGAGGCCCCUCGCAAAGUCUCGCCGCAUUCCGAGUCCGGCGGACGAACUUCGCCCGCGCCCCCCACCAAGGCUAUAGCCCACCCGUUUUUUGGCCAUUUUUCCGCUGGGGGGUUUUGGCACCACGACCUUCGGGCGCUUAUUUCUGGGCGCGGCUUUGCCCGCGGCUUAUUUUUGGCACCCCGAGGCCCCUCGCAAAGUCUCGCCGCAUUCCGAGUCCGGCGGACGAACUUCGCCCGCGCCCCCCACCAAGGCUAUAGCCCACCCGUUUUUUGGCCUUUUUUCCGCUGGGGGGUUUUGGCACCACGACCUUCGGGCGUUUAUGUUUGGGCACGGCUUUGCCCGCGGCUUAUUUUUGGCACCCCGAGGCCCCUCGCAAAGUCUCGCCCCAUUCCGAGUCCGGCGGACGAACGUCGCCCGCGCCCCCCACCAAGGCUAUAGCCCACCCGUUUUUUGGCCAUUUUUCCGCUGGGGGGUUUUGGCACCACUACCUUCGGGCGCUUAUUUUUGGGCGCGGCUUUGCCCGCGGCUUAUUUUUGGCACCCCGAGGCCCCUCGCAAAGUCUCGCCGCAUUCCGAGUCCGGCGGACGAACUUCGCCCGCGCCCCCCACCAAGGCUAUAGCCCACCCGUUUUUUGGCCAUUUUUCCGCUGGGGGGUUUUGGCACCACGACCUUCGGGCGCUUAUUUUUGGGCGCGGCUUUGCCCGCGGCUUAUUUUUGGCACCCCGAGGCCCCUCGCAAAGUCUCGCCGCAUUCCGAGUCCGGCGGACGAACUUCGCCCGCGCCCCCCACCAAGGCUAUAGCCCACCCGUUUUUUGGCCAUUUUUCCGCUGGGCGGUUUUGGCACCACGACCUUCGGGCGCUUAUUUUUGGGCGCGGCUUUGGCCGCGGCUUAUUUUUGGCACCCCGAGGCCCCUCGCAAAGUCUCGCCGCAUUCCGAGUCCGGCGGACGAACGUCGCCCGCGCCCCCCACCAAGGCUAUAGCCCACCCGUUUUUUGGCCAUUUUUCCGCUGGGGGGUUUUGGCACCACGACCUUCGGGCGCUUAUUUUUGGGCGCGGCUUUGCCCGCGGCUUAUUUUUGGCACCCCGAGGCCCCUCGCAAAGUCUCGCCGCAUUCCGAGUCCGGCGGACGAACUUCGCCCGCGCCCCCCACCAAGGCUAUAGCCCACCCGUUUUUUGGCCAUUUUUCCGCUCGGGGGUUUUGGCACCACGACCUUCGGGAGCUUAUUUUUGGGCGCGGCUUUGCCCGCGGCUUAUUUUUGGCACCCCGAGGCCCCUCGCAAAGUCUCGCCCCAUUCCGAGUCCGGCGGAAGAUCUUUCGCCCGCGCCCCCCACCAAGGCUAUAGCCCACCCGUUUUUUGGCCAUUUUUCCGCUGGGGGGUUUUGGCACCACGACCUUCGGGCGCUUAUUUUUGGGUGCGGCUUUGCCCGCGGCUUAUUUUUGGCACCCCGAGGCCCCUCGCAAAGUCUCGCCGCAUUCCGAGUCCGGCGGACGAACUUCGCCCGCGCCCCC